GAGAGAAAACGGGAGAGAAAAGGCUUGAAACUGAGGAGCUGAACUCCAAGUAAAUCUUCCCACGUGCCUGGCCUGGACACAGAUCCAGGGAUGAAAGAGCCCUAAGGCAGUGUAGUAUGAUGUCCUGCCCAUGUGGCCAUUCCUUGUCCUGCGUGGAGAUGGCCAGGGACUGACUUACAAUGGCGACUGAGGGAUUAUUCUGAGAUCUAAGGUGACACCGUAAGGCUGGCACACAUGCAGGGACCUGCCAUUGCUUCUGAGUGGUGCUUUCCACAAUCAAACUUCACCCUUGUCAUGUGCACACGGAGUGUUGAAAGACUCAGGAGAUGCUGUAAGUUCCUGGCCUUGGCUGUGAGCUCCUAGGGUAGGGCACAGGUGCUGUGCCUAUGUACCCCCAGUAUGUGGUCAUGGUCAGGUACAGCUUAGAUGCUGAAAGAAAACUUUGC
rnacentral:lncRNA from 1 species